rnacentral:rRNA from 1 species
UAUACAGUCGAGCGAGCUGAAUUCAAAGAUUCCCUUCGGGGAUGAUUUGUUGGACGCUAGCGGCGGAUGGGUGAGUAACACGUGGGCAAUCUGCCCUAAAGACUGGGAUACCACUUGGAAACAGGUGCUAAUACCGGAUAACAACAUGAAUCGCAUGAUUCAAGUUUGAAAGGCGGCGCAAGCUGUCACUUUAGGAUGAGCCCGCGGCGCAUUAGCUAGUUGGUGGGGUAAAGGCCUACCAAGGCAAUGAUGCGUAGCCGAGUUGAGAGACUGAUCGGCCACAUUGGGACUGAGACACGGCCCAAACUCCUACGGGAGGCAGCAGUAGGGAAUCUUCCACAAUGGACGCAAGUCUGAUGGAGCAACGCCGCGUGAGUGAAGAAGGUCUUCGGAUCGUAAAGCUCUGUUGUUGGUGAAGAAGGAUAGAGGCAGUAACUGGUCUUUAUUUGACGGUAAUCAACCAGAAAGUCACGGCUAACUACGUGCCAGCAGCCGCGGUAAUACGUAGGUGGCAAGCGUUGUCCGGAUUUAUUGGGCGUAAAGCGAGCGCAGGCGGAAUGAUAAGUCUGAUGUGAAAGCCCACGGCUCAACCGUGGAACUGCAUCGGAAACUGUCAUUCUUGAGUGCAGAAGAGGAGAGUGGAACUCCAUGUGUAGCGGUGGAAUGCGUAGAUAUAUGGAAGAACACCAGUGGCGAAGGCGGCUCUCUGGUCUGCAACUGACGCUGAGGCUCGAAAGCAUGGGUAGCGAACAGGAUUAGAUACCCUGGUAGUCCAUGCCGUAAACGAUGAGCGCUAGGUGUUGGGGACUUUCCGGUUCCUCAGUGCCGCAGCAAACGCAUUAAGCGCUCCGCCUGGGGAGUACGACCGCAAGGUUGAAACUCAAAGGAAUUGACGGGGGCCCGCACAAGCGGUGGAGCAUGUGGUUUUAUUCGAAGCAACGCGAAGAACCUUACCAGGUCUUGA